AUGACAGACCCCAAGAAUUUAGGGAAGCAAGGGAGAGAGGCUCUGAUGAUUCACAACAUUGGAGGAAAUCAAGGACAGAGAGGAUUGGAUGCUGGAGAUGGAGAUCAAUAUACCAAUAGGAACUCACAUGAUGGAGGGAGAUCAGGAUUUGGGGGGCAGAACAAUAUGUUUUGCAACAAAUGCAAAGAAGUGAAUCACUUGACCAAAGAUUGCCCCCUUGGUCAUUGUGUGAUAUGUGGGAAGAAAAAUCAUGUUACUGAUGAGUGUAACUGGCUGAAGCAAAUCAAGCCAGUGCCCAAGUUUGUUGGAUAUGCUGCCAGGGGACUUGGUGUGUUGCUGGUUCAGAGUACAAAAGAAGUCCUGGAAAUGGAAAACCCAAACCCAAUGGCUAUAAUCUCAGUGGUGUCAGGAGUGAUCAAUGAAACUCAAUUGGUGGACAGAUUACAUUACAUGUUCAAUUGGAAUUGGCAGUGGAGGUGCAAGAAGCAUGGGGAAAAUGCUUUUUUGGUUAGGUUCCCAAACAAAUGA
rnacentral:rRNA from 1 species